rnacentral:rRNA from 1 species
ACGGAGACGUAAUUCCUCAAAUAUAGUGGCGGAGCUAGGUCGUGCUCUAAGCGUAGUAACCAAAUUCUCGCUUCUGAAGCCGGCCCGGGUCCUGCCGUAAAACCCCCUAUAUUUUUCUGGUUGACCUCGGAUCAGGUAGGAAUACCCGCUGAACUUAAGCAUAUCAAUAAGCGGAGGAAAAGAAACCAACAGGGAUUGCCCUAGUAACGGCGAGUGAAGCGGCAACAGCUCAAAUUUGAAAUCUGGCCUUCGGGUCCGAGUUGUAAUUUGCAGAGGAUGCUUUUGGCGCGGUGCCUUCCGAGUUCCCUGGAACGGGACGCCUUAGAGGGUGAGAGCCCCGUACGGUUGGACACCAAGCCUCUGUAAAGCUCCUUCGACGAGUCGAGUAGUUUGGGAAUGCUGCUCUAAAUGGGAGGUAAAUUUCUUCUAAAGCUAAAUACCGGCCAGAGACCGAUAGCGCACAAGUAGAGUGAUCGAAAGAUGAAAAGCACUUUGAAAAGAGGGUUAAAUAGCACGUGAAAUUGUUGAAAGGGAAGCGUUUACGGCCAGACCUUUUCCUGGCGGAUCAUCUGGUGUUCUCACCAGUGCACUUCGCCAGGUUUAGGCCAGCAUCGGCUUCUGUAGGGGGAUAAAAGCAGUGGGAAAGUAGCUCCCUCGGGAGUGUUAUAGCCCUAAGCAUAAUACCCUUA